rnacentral:rRNA from 1 species
AAAUGUUGGGUUAAGUCCCGCAACGAGCGCAACCCUUGUCCUUAUUUGCCAGCACGUAAUGGUGGGAACUCUAGGGAGACUGCCGGUGAUAAACCGGAGGAAGGUGGGGACGACGUCAAGUCAUCAUGGCCCUUACGAGUAGGGCUACACACGUGCUACAAUGGCGUAUACAGAGGGUUGCAAACCCGCGAGGGGGAGCUAAUCUCACAAAGUGUGUCGUAGUCCGGAUCGGAGUCUGCAACUCGACUCCGUGAAGUCGGAAUCGCUAGUAAUCGUGAAUCAGAAUGUCGCGGUGAAUACGUUCCCGGGCCUUGCACACACCGCCCGU